ACCCUCGAACGUUGACGGGAACUCAGAGAAGGUACACAGAAUGCCUGCUUCUGAAAGUGUUCCAGAUCACUCGGCAACAGGGUUAGUGCUGGAAUUCACUCAGGAAAACUAAGGACACACCCAGAAAGAGUGGAGUAAAACAAGACAUUACAGAUUCAGAUUUUGGCUGCUUAUUAGUGUCCAAGUAAUCAAUGACUAUUGAAAGGACUGAGGAACCAGAAACGGUUUUACAGCACUGUCCUUGGAGAGACUUACUGUUGAAUUGCGUCAAAUAAUUAACGCCAUUCUCCUUUGCAAGCAAAGGUAAAUUUAUAAUACAUUCAUAUAAUUUGACAUAAUGCGAUCUCUCCAGGAUGGAGCGAAAGUCCUCAUUCGAGGAAUUCAGUUUCCAGCUGUUGAAUUAUACUUUGGAAAUAAAGAAGUGUUCAAUAACACAACAGAGAAGGAAAACCUCAGUUUAGGCAGCUGAUGAGACUUGGGUCUGAGCCACUAAGCGGAGCUGGGGGAUACAGCUCCUAUCCAUACAGAGACACAUAUUCCUUGCCUCUGGAAGACCUCAGAGCUACUCACAAGCUGGCUUUACAUAUUUCAAAGAAAACUGUAGAAAAGUAUGCAUCACUGAGACGUUACCUCCUCUCCCACUCAUGCUUUCCUCAUCUGGAAGGAUGACAGGUGUAGCAUCCAACACUCACCAGUUCUUUUGGCUCUACACAGACUUUGCUUUUCCACAAAAUCUUUAGGAAUGUCCUAUUUCUCUAUCCUUUUGACAAAUCCAGCUAAAAACAGCUUAAAAAACACCACCAGCUGACAAAGGAAACAAUUUCAGUGAUUAAAUCAUCAACCAGAUCUUAAGGAAAUGAAGCAGAAACGAAUGUCUCGUCAUUAAACAUCAAAAUGGAGCCACCAUAGUCUACUCUUCCAGUCUGUUUUACUGAAGAUUCUCUUAUGAAAUUUCUAAAGGAGUGAAAACGACUGAGUUUCUGAAGUGCUUUACUAAAUAGCUUAUGAGUUGCAUCAGAAAUCUCCCAAGGUAACAAGAGAGAAUGGCCUCACGGUGCACCAGGGGAGGCUCAGGUUGGAUAUUAGGAAAAAUUCCUUCUCUCAAGGAGCAGUGAGGUGGUGGAAGAGGCUGCCCAGGAGAACACUGGUGUCACCGUCCCUACGUGGUAUUGAGGGACGUGGUUUGUGGGCACGCUGGGGAUGGAAUGGGGGUUGGAUUACAUAAUGAUGAUCUUAGAAGUUUUUUUUCCAGCCAUAAUGAUUCUAAGAUACUGCAAGAACGCUGUCAGCAGACUAACUCGGCCAGUGAGGAGGAUCGCCUUCAGCGACGCUAGACCCACACAAAGAACCUGUGCCUGCGAUGCUGAAGCCUGACAGAGUGAGCGCCCCGAGCGAAGGGAGCGCCUUGCCGCUCAGAAUAACGGAAACACCACGAUAGGACACAACGUCCCACACCGCCCAGCAGCCGGCGGGCAGCACUGCGCCUGUGCGGUAUCCUCUGGCACACGGCACUCUCGCCCCUUCCCUCCGGGCGCCUCCAUCCCGCGGGGGGAGCGGGUUGUCCAGGCCUCUCCACUCCGGGUCCUGCGAACCGCCCUGCCCGGGCUUCCGCCCUCCAGCCCAGGGAAACAACAGCGGGGCUGCCGCCUCCUGCUUGUACAAGGCCGCCGCAGACCCUCCGCACUGCCGUAGAGCCGGCGCACCUCCCUCCCCCCCAUUGCGGGAGCGUUGGUUGGCCCUCCCGGGGCACUCUGGGAACUGGAGGGGCUGCGUUCUCGUUUCCGCUGCGCGUGGGGUGGCGGUGCGUGCUCGCUAAGGAUGCUCCGCGGGGCGGUCGGCGCUUGCCGCUGGGGCCUGAGAACCGGGAGGUGCGGGGGCGAGGCGAGGCGAGGCGAGUGAGGCGGCUGGCCGCUAAGGGGCGGGGCGGGGAGCGGUUGCUGGGAGAUAUGGCGGCGGGCCUGCCUCCCCCCGCAACCGCGUGCUCCCCGCCUUGGCCCAGUGCUGUGCGUGAGGGGAUCGGCCGUGCGCGUUGAUGACCACCCAUAGUCUGUCCAGACCAGAAGAAGAACCUUUUGGAAGAUGUGAAAGAAGUGGAAGUUUGGCAGUGGCCGAAGCAAGCAACAGUGCAACCACGUGACAUCGCAGGAGUACGAGUGUGUUUGUGCAGUAGCCAUGGGUGAUCUUCCUGGCAUCACAGGGAUAGGCAUGUGGUGAAAGCUUCUAAGCAUGUGAAGAGUGUGUACUAGAAGGUGACGAAGUACUGACACCCCAGCUCUCCUGCAGUUUUAUGAGGAAGAAUUGUUAGAACCAGCCUGAAACCAGUGGCAAUGCAAGACUACUCCCUUAGAAACAAAAAGCUGUUAAGGACUUGGGAAUGUUAAGCCUUUAAAUGCUUACACUAACACGAGUUAUUUCUAACUGUAUUAGAACAGUGCUUAUGUAGACAUAAAAAAAAAAAAAAAUAAAGAUUUAUGUUUCUGUUAUUAGAA